UUUCUUCGGAAAUCAUACGUGGUAGCGGAGCAUUCUGUAAGCCUGUGAAGGUGUAGCGCGAGCUAUGCUGGAGGUAUCAGAAGCGAGAAUGCGGACAUGAGUAACGAAAAGAGUGUGAGAAACACUCUCGUCGAAAUCCCAAGGGUUCCUGCGCAAGGUUAAUCCACGCAGGGUGAGCCGGCUCCUAAGGCGAGGCCGAAAGGCGUAGUCGAUGGGAAUCACGUUAAUAUUCGUGAGCCAGUGGAAUGGUGACGGUGGGCGUAAGUGGUCAAUCCUUAUUGGAUUGGUAUUGGCCAUGAAGCACAUCCAGGAAAUAGCCUCCACAGAGACCGUACCCGAAACCGACACAGGUGGGAUGGUAGAGCAUACCAAGACGCUUGAGAGAACUGUCCUGAAGGAACUCGGCAAAUUGCAUCUGUAACUUCGGGAGAAAGAUGACUUUUACCCACGCAAGUGGGAAAGAGUGACACAAACCAGGUGGUAGCGACUGUUUACCUAAAACACAGGGCUCUGCGAAGUCUUUAAGACGACGUAUAGGGUCUGACGCCUGCCCGGUGCCGGAAGGUUAAAAGGAGGAGUGCAAGCUCUGAAUUGAAGCCCCGGUAAACGGCGGCCGUAACUAUAACGGUCCUAAGGUAGCGAAAUUCCUUGUCGGGUAAGUUCCGACCUGCACGAGGGCGUAACGACUUCCACACUGUCUCCAGGGCAGACUCAGUGAAAUUGAAUUCCUCGUGAAGAUGCGGGGUACUCGCGGUUAGACGGAAAGACCCUAUGAACCUUUACUGCAACUUCGCAGUGGCAACACGAUUGACAUGUGUAGAAUAGGUGGGACCCUUUGAAGUUCCGGCGCCAGCCGGGAUGGAGGGAUCAGUGAAAUACCACCCUUGUUUUUUGUGUUGUCUAACCUCUCUCCAUUAUCUGGAGAAGGGACCCUGCGUGGUGGGCAGUUUGACUGGGGCGGUCGCCUCCCAAAUAGUAACGGAGGCGCGCGAUGGUAAGCUCAGGACGGUCGGAAAUCGUCCUUUGAGUGCAUUGGCAUAAGCUUGCCUGACUGUGAGACUGACAAGUCGAGCAGAGACGAAAGUCGGUCAAAGUGAUCCGGUGGUUCCGUAUGGAAGGGCCAUCGCUCAACGGAUAAAAGGUACUCUAGGGAUAACAGGCUGAUAGCGCCCAAGCGCCCACAGCGACGGCGCUGUUUGGCACCUCGAUGUCGGCUCAUCUCAUCCUGGGGCUGGAGAAGGUCCCAAGGGUAUGGCUGUUCGCCAUUUAAAGAGGUACGUGAGCUGGGUUCAGAACGUCGUGAGACAGUUCGGUCCCUAUCUUCCGCGAGAGUUGGAGUCUUGAGAGGAUCUAUCCUUAGUACGAGAGGACCGGGAUGGACGCACCCCUGGUGUACCAGUUGUUCUGCCAAGAGCAUCGCUGGGUAGCUAUGUGCGGAAUGGAUAAACGCUGAAAGCAUCUAAGCGUGAAACCAGCCUCAAUACCAGGACUCCCUAUUAGAGCCGUAGUAGACUACUACGUUGAUAGGCUGGGUGUGGAAGCGCCGUAAGGCGUGAAGCUUACCAGUACUAAUUGCUCG
rnacentral:rRNA from 1 species